rnacentral:rRNA from 1 species
CCUACGGGGGGCUGCAGUGGGGAAUAUUGGACAAUGGGGGGAACCCUGAUCCAGCCAUGCCGCGUGUGUGAAGAAGGCCCUCGGGUUGUAAAGCACUUUCAGUGAGGAAGAACGCCUGGUGGUUAAUACCCAUCAGGAAAGACAUCACUCACAGAAGAAGCACCGGCUAACUCCGUGCCAGCAGCCGCGGUAAUACGGAGGGUGCGAGCGUUAAUCGGAAUUACUGGGCGUAAAGCGCGCGUAGGUGGCUUGAUAAGCCGGUUGUGAAAGCCCCGGGCUCAACCUGGGAACGGCAUCCGGAACUGUCAAGCUAGAGUGCAGGAGAGGAAGGUAGAAUUCCCGGUGUAGCGGUGAAAUGCGUAGAGAUCGGGAGGAAUACCAGUGGCGAAGGCGGCCUUCUGGACUGACACUGACACUGAGGUGCGAAAGCGUGGAUAGCAAACAGGAUUAGAUACCCGAGUAGUC